GACGGGACCCCGCACAAGCGGUGGAUCAUGUUGUUUAAUUCGAUGAUACGCGAAGAACCUUACCAGGUCUUGACAUCCCCACGAUGCUUUUAGAGAUAAAGCGGAGGUAUUCGGGGAGACAGGUGGUGCAUGGUUGUCGUCAGCUCGUGUCGUGAGAUGUUGGGUUAAGUCCCGCAACGAGCGCAACCCCUAUUGCUAGUUACCAUCAUUAAGUUGGGGACUCUAGCGAGACUGCCAGUGAUAAACUGGAGGAAGGUGGGGAUGACGUCAAAUCAUCAUGCCCCUUAUGACCUGGGCUACAAACGUGAUACAAUGGCUGGAACAAAGGGAUGCGAAGCAGUGAUGUGGAGCGAAACCCAUAAAAACAGUCUCAGUUCGGAUUGAAGUCUGCAACUCGACUUCAUGAAGUCGGAAUCGCUAGUAAUCGCGGAUCAGAACGCCGCGGUGAAUACGUUCUCGGGGUUU
rnacentral:rRNA from 1 species